AGCUGCAGUCGAGGAUCUUUCGCAUGGGCGCAGCCUGACGAAGCGACACUGCGUGAGUGAUGAAGGCCUUUGGGUUGUAAAACUCUUUCGCGCAAGAACAAGGAAGGGAUGUGAAUAACAUCCUGACUUGAGGGUACUGCGUAAAGAAGCACCGGCUAACUCC
rnacentral:rRNA from 1 species